rnacentral:rRNA from 1 species
GACGAACGCUGGCGGCGUGCUCAACACAUGCAAGUCGAACGGUAAGGCCCUUCGGGGUACACGAGUGGCGAACGGGUGAGUAACACGUGGGUGAUCUGCCCUGCACUUCGGGAUAAGCCUGGGAAACUGGGUCUAAUACCGGAUAGGACCACUGCCUGCAUGGGUGGUGGUGGAAAGCUUUUGCGGUGUGGGAUGGGCCCGCGGCCUAGCAGCUUGUUGGUGGGGUGAUGGCCUACCAAGGCGACGACGGGUAGCCGGCCUGAGAGGGUGACCGGCCACACUGGGACUGAGAUACGGCCCAGACUCCUACGGGAGGCAGCAGUGGGGAAUAUUGCACAAUGGGCGCAAGCCUGAUGCAGCGACGCCGCGUGAGGGAUGACGGCCUUCGGGUUGUAAACCUCUUUCAGCACCGACGAAGCGCAAGUGACGGUAGGUGCAGAAGAAGGACCGGCCAACUACGUGCCAGCAGCCGCCGUAA